UACGUAGGGUGCAAGCGUUGUCCGGAAUUAUUGGGCGUAAAGAGCUCGUAGGCGGCCAGUUGCGUCCGCUGUGAAAUCCCGGGGCUUAACCCCGGGCGUGCAGUGGAUACGGGCUGGCUAGAGGCAGGCAGGGGAGAACGGGAAUUCCCGGUGUGAGCGGUGAAAUGACGCAGAUAUCGGGAGGAACACCGGUGGCGAAGGCGGUUCUCUGGGCCUGUACUGACGCUGAGGAGCGAAAGCGUGGGGAGCAAACAGG
rnacentral:rRNA from 1 species